CAAGCACUUUCUCAAUCUAGUAAACUCUAAUGUGACUGGCUGACUUUAUGGAGCUUCCAAGAAAGCUCCCAGGGUUUUUCUCCAGUCUGUUUGGAAAAGUUGUGUUGACUGAGGAUCAAAUCUUUCAAGAAUGAAAUCAUCGCUGGAUUUACCAAAGUUUGCGAGCAUGGGACUCUGAACACAUUAAACAGACCUGCGGCGUCACACACCUCACAGAGCUCUGAGCUGCUGUCAUCAGAUCACAUGACCUCAGCGCUGAGAGGAAACGACCGGGUUUUAGUUAACUAUAACCCUGGUCAGAUCUGAAUUCAAGUGUGCAGUGGAUUGUGGGGGAAAACCAACGACAUGAGGAGGCUUUCUGACCUGGACAUGAAGAAGAAGAUCAAGUUCAAUCUCCACAUAUCUCAAUGGUAAUGCUUCUUUUUCCAUUUUUUUUCCAGAAUUCCUUUUUAGAUUCUUAGAGG
ensembl:lncRNA